rnacentral:misc_RNA from 1 species
AACCAUUCUCACCUGCGGCUAGACCUGCGGAGGGAUCAUUACUGUGGGGUGUAUGCCCCACCGAGAUAGCACCCUUGCCUUUGAAGUACCCUCCGUUUCCUCGGCAGGUCCGCCUGCCAAUGGGGACAACAGCAAACCCUUUUUGUAAUAGCAGUACACGUCAAAAAGAAGCAAAUUAAUCAAAACUUUUAGCAAUGGAUCU